rnacentral:rRNA from 1 species
AUUGAACGCUGGCGGCAGGCCUAACACAUGCAAGUCGAACGGAGCGGCGGACGGGUGAGUAAUGCCUAGGAAUCUUCCUGGUAGUGGGGGGUAACGACCGGCAACGGGUGCUAAUACCGCAUACUAUCAGAUGAGCCUAGGUCGGAUUAGCUAGUGGGUGGGGUAAAGGCCUACCAAGGCGACGAUCCGUAACUGGUCUGAGAGGAUGAUCAGUAAAACUGGAACUGAGACACGGUCCAGAAUCCGACGGGAGGCAGCAGGGGGGAAUAUUGGACAAGGGGCGAAAGCCUGAUCCAGCCAUGCCGCGUGUGUGAAGAAGGUCUUCGGAUUGUAAAGCACUUUAAGUUGGGAGGCGUUACCAACAGAAUAAGCACCGGCUAACUCCGUGCCAGCAGCCGCGGUAAUAC